AUUGAACGCUGGCGGCAGGCCUAACACAUGCAAGUCGAACGAGAGGCGGACGGGUGAGUAAUGUCUGGGACACUGCCUGAUGGAGGGGGAUAACUACUGGCAACGGUAGCUAAUACCGCAUACCAUCGGCUUUGCCCAGAUGGGAUUAGCUCGUAGGUGGGGUAAAGGCUCACCUAGGCGACGAUCCCUAGCUGGUCUGCGAGGAUGACCAGCCACACUGGAACUGAGACAAGGUCCAGACUCCUGCGUGAGGCAGCAGGGGGGAAUAUGUCACAAUGGGCGCAAGCCUGAUGCAGCAAUGCAGAGUGUAUGAAGAAGGCCUUCGGGUUGUAAAGUACUUUCAGCGGGGAGGCGUUACCCGCAGAAGAAGCACCGGCGAACUCCGUGCCAGCAGCCGCGGUAAUAC
rnacentral:rRNA from 1 species